rnacentral:ncRNA from 2 species
UACUUGGUUGAUCCUGCCAAGGAAGCACACUUAGGUCAUAGAUUAAGCCAUGCAAGUGUUAGUUCAGGUAACGAAACUGCGAAUAGCUCAUUAAUACGCUCAGAAUCUAUUUGGCGGCGACCAACAGGUCUUAAAUGGAUAGCAGCAGCAACUCUGGUGCUAAUACAUGCGAUUGUUUCUCCAGAUGUGAAUUAUGGAGGAAAAGUUGACCUCAUCAGAGGCACGCCAUUCGACUGAGUGACCUAUCAGCUUGUACUUAGGGUCUUUACCUAGGUAGGCUAUCACGGGUAACGGGCGGUUACCGUCGGACUGCCGGAGAAGGCGCCUGAGAGAUAGCGACUAUAUCCACGGGUAGCAGCAGGCGCGAAACUUUCCCACUCGAGACUUUCGGAGGAGGUAAUGACCAGUUCCAUUGGUGCCUUUUGGUACUGUGGAUAGGGGUACGGUUUUCCACCGUACCGAAACCUAGCAGAGGGCCAGUCUGGUGCCAGCAGCUGCGGUAAUUCCAGCUCUGCGAGUUUGCUCCCAUAUUGUUGCAGUUAAAACGCCCGUAGUCUGAAUUGGCCAGCAAUGGUCGUACGUAUUUUUACGUUCACUGUGAACAAAUCAGGACGCUUAGAGUAUGGCCACAUGAAUGACUCAGCGCAGUAUGAAGUCUUUGUUUUCUUCCGAAAACAAGCUCAAUGAGAGCCAUCGGGGGUAGAUCUAUCUCAUGACGAGUGGUGGAAUACUUGACUCAUGAGAGAGAA